rnacentral:rRNA from 1 species
CCUACGGGUGGCAGCAGUGGGGAAUAUUGCGCAAUGGGCGAAAGCCUGACGCAGCGACGCCGCGUGCGGGAUGAAGGUCUUCGGAUCGUAAACUUCUGUCAGCAGGGAAGAACGGUCACUGUGCUAAUCAGUAGUGAAUUGACGGUACCUGCACAGGAAGCACCGGCUAACUCGGUGCCAGCAGCCGCGGUAAUACGGAGGGUGCAAGCGUUAAUCGGAAUUACUGGGCGGAAAGCGCUCGUAGGCGGUAUGUCAAGUCAAGGGUGAAAUCCCCGGGGUCAACGCCGGAACUGCUUUUGAAACUAGCAAACUGGAGUGUGAGAGAGGAAAGCGGAAUUCCAUGUGAAGGAGUGAAAUGCGUAGAUAUCUGGAAGAACAUCAGAGGCGAAGGCGACUAUCUGGCACAUUACUGACGCUGAGGGGCGAAAGCGUGGGGAGCAAACAGGAUUAGAUACCCGGGUAGUC